rnacentral:rRNA from 1 species
AACGCUAGCUACAGGCUUAACACAUGCAAGUCGAGGGGCAGCAUGAACAAAGCUUGCUUUGUUUGAUGGCGACCGGCGCACGGGUGCGUAACACGUAUCCAAUCUGCCCGCGGCUCGGGGAUAGCCCAUCGAAAGAUGGAUUAAUACCCGAUGGCGUGGUCACUCCGCAUGGAGUUUCCACUAAAGGUUUUCCGGCCGCGGAUGAGGAUGCGUAUGAUUAGGUAGUAGGCGGGGUAACGGCCCACCUAGCCUUCGAUCAUUAGGGGUUCUGAGAGGAAGGUCCCCCACACUGGAACUGAGACACGGUCCAGACUCCUACGGGAGGCAGCAGUGAGGAAUAUUGGUCAAUGGACGAGAGUCUGAACCAGCCAAGUAGCGUGCAGGACGACGGCCCUCUGGGUUGUAAACUGCUUUUAGUUGGGAAUAAAAAGAGGGACGUGUCCCUAAUUGUAUGUACCAUCAGAAAAAGGACCGGCUAAUUCCGUGCCAGCAGCCGCGGUAAUACGGAAGGUCCAGGCGUUAUCCGGAUUUAUUGGGUUUAAAGGGAGCGUAGGCGGGACGUGUAAGUCAGCUGUGAAAGUUUGCGGCUCAACCGUAAAAUUGCAGUUGAAACUGCCGUUCUUGAGUGUGCACAGGGAUGUUGGAAUUCGUGGUGUAGCGGUGAAAUGCUUAGAUAUCACGAAGAACUCCGAUCGCGAAGGCAGAUGUCCGGAGCACAACUGACGCUGAGGCUCGAAAGUGUGGGUAUCAAACAGGAUUAGAUACCCUGGUAGUCCACACAGUAAACGAUGAAUACUCGCGGUUGGCGAUAUAUUGUCAGCCGCCACGCGAAACCAUUAAGCAUUCCACCUGGGGAGUACGCCGGCAACGGUGAAACUCAAAGGAAUUGACGGGGGCCCGCACAAGCGGAGGAACAUGUGGUUUAAUUCGAUGAUACGCGAGGAACCUUACCCGGGCUUGAAUUGCAGCUGCAUAAGCAAGAGAUUGCUUUUUCCUUCGGGACUGCUGUGAAGGUGCUGCAUGGUUGUCGUCAGCUCGUGCCGUGAGGUGUCGGCUUAAGUGC